UGCACAGGAAUUUUUGUUUAAAUAAACAGGUAGUUUAAUUGAAAACGUGGUUUGGUUUUCGAGAGGUCAUUAUCAUACCUUGUUAUCUUUAUGAUAGUUUGGACAGUCUGGCGACUUGUGAACGAGAGUGUACAUACAUAAUACAUAUGUAUAACGCGAGUGGAUAGCAGCCCCGAUAGAUAAAGAUCUUUCGAACGGCGACGACGCGACGCCCCCGUGUUUUUUGGCACGGGGCCCAAAGUGUUUCUGGUCUAGACGUCUACGGGGUUCCUGCGAGCCGCGUCUUGCAUUUUUGAUCGAUUCAAUUAAUUCCGCGAGAGCGCGCGCGCGCGCGCACGCCUGCCGAUCGAAGAUUCGAUUCGCUCUUUGUGCGAUUCGAUGGCUAGAAUCAGUCAGACUUAUAGCAAAGUCGAUUUUGAAUAUUCUGAUUUUAGUAACCAAAGUAUCAACACUGGUUUUAGUAUUAUUUAUCAAUUUUCUCAUUAUAAGGUUUUUUAAUUAUUUAUUUAACAUUACGUGCAUGAGCCAAAAAUUUCUAUUAUACUUAACAUAAAUCCUUGACAAUUAGAGUACGUAAAUUGAAAAAAUGAUUGAGAAACCCGCUUCUACUUGAACUACGGUAAUUCUUAACGUGAUUUCAAACUGGGUUAAGACGUUCCCAUCAUCGUUUGCGUAUGACCGCGUAAUAACACGGCAUUGUUGCAGGAGACUUGCGAGGUAUCCAGGAAAUUGGCGGUUUCCAAGUCUGCAAAGCCUCUCAGUAUUAUUACGAGGGCGUCGAUGAUUGAACACGCGUUGCCCUCUCGCUUCCGUUUUCCAACUUCCUAGUCACGGUGCUGUUGGGAGCUUAACGCCGGUUUUGUCACUUGUUUCGACGCAAUGCUUUGUCGACGGGGAACGGUGCGAACGGUUGAGAAACGCGAUUGCACGUGUUGCGCACGCGGGCGAAGAAACGCGGCACGCGUCAGAAGGGUGCCCGUUUAACGAUCACUGUCACCGGCAGCUCGAACCGUGUAACGAUCCUUCGAUGAGUCGGUCAACAAGCACCCCUGCGGAACCUUUGUUCUCGCACGUGUUCCUGGCGAGGACUGUUUCUUUGUAGCGUUACAGUUCAAUAGAGACUGCGUCGAGCAAAGAAAAAAUGAUAAACAGCAGACUGUAAAACUUUAUCUCGUGCCAAUGUGAAAAACAUUUAAAAGCGGUAAUAAAAAUAUAUGUAUUAAUGUAAAUGCUAAUCUUUGAAUGAAUAAAUUAAAUAAAAUUGAAUUGGGAAGGAAGUACGUUUCCUAACUUAGGGAGUUUGUAUGUCCUGUAUUGAUUUCUUAUCCGUGCAUCGGAUUGACACGAGGGUUAAACGAAGUCCGGGCGAUCGAGGGUGUACAGAAAACGAGCGCACAAGGGUUGAUAAUUAUUCAUCAAACAGGCCCUAUCCGAUAUUAUAAUCAAGAUAUACACGAGUCGCAUUAAAUCUGCCAGCUAACGUUAUUAAUCUCACGGGCAUCGGUACCGCAAAUCGGAGAGGCGGCCGGCUGUACGUUAAUGAGCCGGGGAUUUCGAAAUGCGACCGGGUGACACGCGAUGUUAUCCACCCCUUUUUGCACGGUUUAAAUAGCGGUGCCCGGCUGAGUCACGGUCAAAGUCAGAUACGCGACGCGAUAACCAAACCCUAGCCGGGGGUUGGAGAAAAACACGAGCGCCGACAGUGGCAUCCGGUUCCGAUGCGGACGUUGGAUUCUACCCCCGCGACGAUGAAAAGUCUUCGUUAAUUAACCUCCGCGUUUCCCAUCCGCGUGUACAUACGCCGGCACCGCGAGCCCCCGGUAUCCAUCGAUCGACGCGGCCGUUGAAUGACAACGUCCCUUUCUGCUUCCGUUCAUUUCGCGGGAAACUGUAUUAUGAGUCCGCGGUACGUUUAUUAGUGAAGGUUUGAUACACGCGUGUCUCGUCUCCCCGGCUUUCAAAUCAACAGAAACAGACCGGCUGAAUCCGUUCCGCGUCUUGCAAAAUCGAUAGAUUUUGCGAAAAAUCUCUAAUUCAAUUCUAGCUACAAUUUUUAAGUAUCAUUUCUGAAACAUGCGAUGCAUAUAAUGUCUCAAUUCACAUUGAAUGCUGUAAUAAAAAGAAUACCAGAAAUAUCAUGAAAUCUGUAUUAAAUAAACUAAUUACGUAUUUUAUUAAUGAACAUGUGAUUCGAUGAUGAAGGGAUAAGGAAGAAACGUAUCUUUGAGGAUGUAUCUUUGAACUGUAAUCAAGUCUGCGAUCCCUCGAAACUUGCUAAUCCCCUUUCUGUCCGUUAGCCUAGGCCCUGUAUUAAUCGCGGGAUGCCAGAACCUUUAGAAACGGAUUAUUACCUGUAACGAGAAUAGUUCACUGAUAGUUCAACCCCUUAGCCAGUGGCUGAUUAUUUGGCCAAAUAGACGGUCAAAGAAAACUUUCCGGAGACUAUGCGAUACCGGAACGGAUAUACGUGGGAUGGGUGCAACCAAUUUUCCUAAGUUGCGUUUGAACAUCUCAAGUGAAAUUGCAAUCGGCGCAGUUACACGAUUUAAACAAAAAUUCAGAUCAUAAUAAAAUUUAUAUAUUCACACGUUUAUGAAAUCUGUUUAAAUUUUUAACUGCUGUCUAAACUACUAAAUUUAACCACGGAUAAUAAUUUCUCUAUCCCUUUUUAAUUUCUCUCCGCUUUUACUUUAACGACGCGAUACGUCGCGACGUAUCGAGCUUUAGGUUAGCAAGCGUAAUAACGCACGAUAAGUGAGAUUAACAAGCUGACUAACGUGGCACGGUACCUGUAUGCUGAAGGGGCUGGAACUCCGUUAAACUGCGCCUAGCUCCACGCUUUAAUUUGCACGCGCCGCAUCAGGGAUCAUAGCGAUAAUUACGUGAUCGCUGUCACAUGCCAGGGAUAUUAAAAUGGUUAGCAGUAAUUAAUGCCGAGCGAAUUACUGAUUUAACGUCAACCAUCCGUUUCACCCCUACACGACGGGACUCGCAGACGUUCUCGAGUUCAUCUUUUUGGGCUGCCAUUAGUAAACGUCCACGGGAUCGGGUUUUUUCAGGGUUUCACAAAUUUCAAAAGCAUGAACAAAUUCGUAUUUAUAAGAAAAUACAGUAGCGGCAAAAAAUAUUUAAGUACCUUAAUAUGGCGUAAAUUCUUAAUUUAAGUUACGUCUCUCUAUAAUCUGCUAAUGAGUGUUUGCAUGUGUUUGAGCAAGAAAAAAAUGAAUCGGCAGCCUUAAAAUCGUAAAUUGCUGCAAUUCGAAAUCAGUUGAUUAUGCGAUUAAAUUGACCUCCACAAUUAAUGAAUACGGCUGUCACGUAAUGUUUGUUCGCAUUAAUAGCCGUCGCGGGAGUUUAAUGAGGAAUCUCUCGAUUAAGAAAAAGCAGCGUGACAAAUCGACGACGAUUCAAAGGCGCGGAUGAUGAAUGGUCUCGCGUGCGGACGGGAUUCCUCUUGUUACACGAUCCAGAGAUUUUUCGGUACAUAAAUAAGGAAAGCGUAUUACCAUACUCGUCCCCGCGAUUAAAUGCAACAGCUUCCAGUUAAUGGCAUUAGUCGUAACUCCUUCAGAAUAAAUACGGCCACCGUCAAGCCGGAUGGAUGGGACCUUCGUUUGAGUCGUUCUAAGGCCGCUCGAUCGACGUCUUCGACGGCUUACCGACGAGAAAGGGAAAGGAUGUACAACGCACGAUUUUUCUCCUCGUUUUGUUUUUAAUACGGCGUCCGGAUGAUUUAUUGGUCUUAUUGCGGCGGCGUCGAGAAUGCUUCAUUCUAAUUAUGCGGAGUCCCGCAAGCAAAAUAAUAAUUCUCUUCUUUAUUUACGAGUAUUAAUGAUCGCCUUCCUCGUUCCCUAACGACUAUCAAUUUGUCCGUUUGAGAGUUAUCUCGUCCAAUUAUUUGCACUGUAACGAUUACUGCUUACGUUGCGUAUAAUGUAUUUCCAAUUAGUUACACAAAUACAGGACACUGUACAUGUGUUAUGUAAUUUUCAUUGACGGCAAUAAAGUACAAUUCUUGACCUAUU